AUGUAUAGGGGGAAGGGGACAGGGAUACUGGAGUGAUGGAGGUAGAUAUGUAUAGGGGGAAGGGGACAGGGAUACUGGAGUGAUGGAGGUAGAUAUGUAUAGGGGGAAGGAGACAGGGAUACUGGAGUGAUGGAGGUAGAUAUGUAUAGGGGGAAGGAGACAGGGAUACUGGAGUGAUGGAGGUAGAUAUGUAUAGGAGACAGGGAUACUGGAGUGAUGGAGGUAGAUAUGUAUAGGGGGAAGGGGACAGGGAUACUGGAGUGAUGGAGGUAGAUAUGUAUAGGGGGAAGGAGACAGGGAUACUGGAGUGAUGGAGGUAGAUAUGUAUAGGAGACAGGGAUACUGGAGUGAUGGAGGUAGAUAUGUAUAGGGGGAAGGAGACAGGGAUACUGGAGUGAUGGAGGUAGAUAUGUAUAGGGGGAAGGAGACAGGGAUACUGGAGUGAUGGAG
rnacentral:lncRNA from 1 species